rnacentral:rRNA from 1 species
AUUGAUUUUAUGCUUGCAUAAAUGAUUUUUGGAUUCGGAGCGAGUGGCGAACUGGUGAGUAACACGUGGGUAACCUGCCCCGAAGCGGGGGAUAACAUUUGGAAACAAGUGCUAAUACCGCAUAAUUAGUUGGAACCGCAUGGUUCCAACUUGAAAGAUGGCUCUGCUAUCACUUUGGGAUGGACCCGCGCCGUAUUAGUUAGUUGGUGAGAUAAAAGCCCACCAAGACGAUGAUACGUAGCCGACCUGAGAGGGUAAUCGGCCACAUUGGGACUGAGACACGGCCCAGACUCCUACGGGAGGCAGCAGUAGGGAAUCUUCCACAAUGGACGAAAGUCUGAUGGAGCAACGCCGCGUGAGUGAUGAAGGUUUUCGGAUCGUAAAACUCUGUUGUUAAAGAAGAACAAGUGUUAGAGUAACUGUUAACACUUUGACGGUAUUUAACCAGAAAGCCACGGCUAACUACGUGCCAGCAGCCGCGGUAAUACGUAGGUGGCAAGCGUUGUCCGGAUUUAUUGGGCGUAAAGCGAGCGCAGGCGGUUUUGUAAGUCUGCUGUGAAAGCCCUCAGCUCAACUGAGGAAGUGCAGUGGAAACUACAAAACUUGAGUACAGAAGAGGAAAGUGGAACUCCAUGUGUAGCGGUGAAAUGCGUAGAUAUAUGGAAGAACACCAGUGGCGAAGGCGGCUUUCUGGUCUGUUACUGACGCUGAGGCUCGAAAGCAUGGGUAGCGAACAGGAUUAGAUACCCUGGUAGUCCAUGCCGUAAACGAUGAAUACUAGGUGUUGGAGGGUUUCCGCCCUUCAGUGCCGCAGCUAACGCAUUAAGUAUUCCGCCUGGGGAGUACGACCGCAAGGUUGAAACUCAAAGGAAUUGACGGGGGCCCGCACAAGUGGUGGAGCAUGUGGCUUAAUUCGAUGCUACGCGAAGAACCUUACCAGCUCUUGACAUCUUCUGCCAACCCAAGAGAUUGGGCGUUCCCUUCGGGGACAGAAUGACAGGUGGUGCAUGGUUGUCGUCAGCUCGUGUCGUGAGAUGUUGGGUUAAGUCCCGCAACGAGCGCGACCCUUAUUAUUAGUUGCCAGCAUUUAGUUGGGCACCCUAGUGAGACUGCCGGUGAUAAA